UUUUCUUAAAUAAAAGUAUCACGGAUUACUCAGAUCUAAUCUCAUUAGAUUUAAAAAAAACUAUAUUCAAAUCUUGAGCAUCAAAAAAAUAAACGUUCUAUUUUUGAAAGUAUAAAAAAUAAAUUAUAUUUUUUUUUCAAAAGAUUGUGAUGCCUGUAAUUCUCCUACUUUUAACAGUAAUAAUUUUUAUAAAAUCGGGUGUAUAUAAAAUAAAGUCACGCGUGUAGGCUUAUACUGCACACACACACACAUAUAUAUAUAUAUAUAUAUAUAUAUAUAUACAUACAUAUACGUAGAAACAGAAACAUACCGAACAAAAAUUAUAUAAUUAAAAUAUACUGUGCAAACUAACACUCAAAAAAAAAAAAAAAAAAAAAAAAAAAAAUGUAUUAUUACUGUUUCUUUUUUUUUUUUUUUUUUCAGAUUCUAUCAUAUAUCCUCACUGUAAUGAUAUUUUAUGUAUCCAUUGUUAUAAGAAUAAUCUGUGUGACUGUAAAUAUGAAAUUGCUUUAAAAAGAUAUACAUUUCUAGAGAUGAUGGAAAUUUUAACCUUUCUUAUUCACCAUGCUAAUAAAAUAAAAGGGAGUAAUGAAAAGGCAAUUUCGUUUGAUGACAUUCCAACAUACAACUCUUUGAAAGCGCUUGAAAAAACAAAUUCAGCGAGGCUAUACUAUUUUAUUAGUAUACUUAAAAAGAAAGAGAGAGAUGGAACGAACGGGUUAAAUCCAUAUGAUGAUUUGGAAAAAUAUUGUAAAAAAAGAAUUAUUGAAAUAAAUGAAAAUAAAAAAAAAAAAAAAAGGAAGAAAAAGAAAAAAACAUUCAAGUGACGAAGAAGAUAUAGUUUUAGAAAAUUAUAACUUAAAUUUAAUUCAUUUCAAAACUAAACUAACUUUAAAAUAUUUAUUUUUAACUUAUGAGGAAGAAAUAAAAGAUGAUUCUUUAAAAUUUUUACCGAAAAU
rnacentral:lncRNA from 1 species